AGAGUUUGAUCCUGGCUCAGGAUGAACGCUAGCGGCAGGCUUAACACAUGCAAGUCGAACGGUAAGGCUCACUUCGGUGAGUACACGAGUGGCGCACGGGUGCGUAACGCGUAUGCAACCUACCUUUAACAGAAGGAUAGCCCUGAGAAAUCGGGAUUAAUACUUCAUAACAUCAUAUUUCAGCAUUGAAUAAUGAUUAAAGCUCCGGCGGUUAAAGAUGGGCAUGCGUAACAUUAGCUAGUUGGUAAGGUAACGGCUUACCAAGGCAACGAUGUUUAGGGGUUCUGAGAGGAUAAUCCCCCACACUGGUACUGAGACACGGACCAGACUCCUACGGGAGGCAGCAGUGAGGAAUAUUGGGCAAUGGACGCAAGUCUGACCCAGCCAUGCCGCGUGCAGGAAUGACGGCCCUAUGGGUUGUAAACUGCUUUUAUAUAGGAAGAAACUUUCUCACGAGUGGGGAACUGACGGUACUAUAUGAAUAAGCAUCGGCUAACUCCGUGCCAGCAGCCGCGGUAAUACGGAGGAUGCAAGCGUUAUCCGGAUUUAUUGGGUUUAAAGGGUGCGCAGGCGGGCCAAUAAGUCAGUGGUGAAAUCUCUCGGCUCAACCGAGAAACUGCCAUUGAAACUGUAGGUCUAGAGUACAGAUGGGGUAGGCGGAAU
rnacentral:rRNA from 1 species